rnacentral:tRNA from 1 species
GCCUCUGUAGCUCAGUUGGUAGAGCAGGGGACUGAUAAUACACGUGUGGUUGGUUCGAUUCCGACCGGAGGCACCA